UCCGUUCCGAGUGGCCCGGCGGGGUGCGGAGCGUCGGCCUUGCGCGCGCUGAGUGUCUAUUGGCUGGACUUCGCACCGAGCGAGGCCACGCCCCCUGGAGCUUUUCUCCGGAGCAGCCGACCGACCGGAGACUGCGCAGGAGGCUAUCAUGAAGAAGCUUCGGGCGUCUGUAAGGAGUCACAAAAAGCCACCAGCCACCCACAAGAGAAGGGAAAAGUGUGCCGUUACCAGCAGCCAGGCCAGGCCUUCCGGCCUUGACGGCCUGGCCAAGCAGAAGAGAGAGGAGUUACUGCAGGCCCCCAUCUCCCCAUAUCAUCUCUUCAGCGACAUGGCCGAUGUCACAGCUUUCCGAAGAGAUUUGCUCAGCUGGUAUGACCAAGAGAAGCGUGACCUCCCUUGGAGAAAAUGGGCAAAAGAAGAGACCAACUUGGACAGGAGGGCCUAUGCUGUAUGGGUGUCAGAGGUUAUGCUGCAGCAGACCCAAGUUGCCACAGUGAUCGACUAUUAUACCCGAUGGAUGCAGAAGUGGCCGACACUUCAAGACCUGGCCACUGCUUCCCUGGAGGAGGUGAACCAGCUCUGGUCUGGUCUGGGCUACUAUUCUCGAGGCCGUCGGCUACAAGAAGGAGCUAGGAAGGUGGUAGAGGAGCUAGGAAGCCAUAUGCCACGUACAGCAGAGACCCUACAGCAGCUCCUGCCUGGUGUGGGGCGGUACACGGCUGGAGCCAUUGCUUCCAUUGCCUUUGACCAGGUAACCGGUGUGGUGGAUGGGAACGUUUUACGGGUGCUGUGCCGUGUCCGUGCCAUUGGUGCUGAUCCCACCAGCACCCUCGUCUCUCAUCACCUCUGGAACUUAGCUCAGCGGCUAGUGGACCCAGCCCGGCCUGGGGACUUCAAUCAAGCAGCCAUGGAGUUGGGGGCUACAGUGUGCACGCCACAGCGUCCUCUCUGCAGCCAUUGCCCUGUGCAGAGUUUGUGCCGGGCACACCAGAGGGUGGAGCGGGAACAGCUCUCAGCCUUGCCAGGCAGUCCUGACAUAGAGGAGUGUGUUCUCAACACUAGACAGUGCCAGCUUUGCCUCCCUUCCACAAACCCCUGGGACCCCACCAUGGGAGUGACCAACUUUCCUCGAAAGGCCAGCCGCAGGCCUCCCAGGGAGGAGUACUCUGCCACCUGUGUUGUGGAGCAGCCCGGAGCCAUUGGGGGUCCCCUCAUCCUCCUGGUGCAAAGGCCUAACUCAGGUCUGCUGGCAGGACUGUGGGAGUUUCCAUCCGUCACCUUGGAGCCCUCAGAACAGCAUCAGCACAAAGCCCUUCUGCAGGAACUGCAGCACUGGUCUGGGCCCCUCCCUGCCACUCAUCUCCAGCACCUGGGGGAGGUGAUCCACAUCUUCUCUCACAUCAAACUGACCUAUCAAGUAUACAGUCUGGCUCUAGGACAGACCCCAGCAAGCACUGCACCUCCAGGCGCACGAUGGUUGACCUGGGAGGAAUUCCGCAAUGCAGCUGUGUCCACUGCCAUGAAAAAGGUGUUCCGCAUGUAUGAGGACCAUCGGCGAGAGACCUGCAAGGUUUUGCUGGAGGCAAAAGGACAGUUUGUAAACUAGGGACUAAUUGUACAGCGUGAACUACAGGGUAGGGAACAAGAACAUUGGAGCGCGCUUGCUGUCAAAGGGUUCCAAAAGGUCCCGGGUGUGUACUCCGUCAAGCCGGAAAAAACCCAGCCGGGGACAGCAAGUCCUAGAUCAUUUUUUUCAGCGUCAUAGCCCCACAGACA